CGCGGAGAUUAAAAUAAAGUGGUCGGACCUCAAGGUGGAGGUCAAGCGGCGUACAGCUGCCCUCCGGAGGAGUACCGGCCAGACAGGUGGGGUUCCGGGGGAGGAGACCCUCACGCCGUUUGAGCAGCGGGUGGUGGCGAUUAUUAUUAUAGGGUAAGUGGCGUGUCACACAAAUGUCCACAUGCUUUGCCAUCCCACUGUGCAAAAGACGUAUAUUAGACGUCUAGUCUAAGUUUAUACUUCAUUUCAACGUCGGGAUUCAGUCUAUUUUUAGACGUGAUUUAUACUUCGCCCUUUACUUCAUUUUUCGAUAACUUUUUAUGCAAUAAACAACUGUAAUGUGCAUAACUGACCUCUAAAUACUGGAUUACAUUACCUAUGAUACCGUGGAGAGAAAUGUAAACGCAACAGAUACACAGAAGCAGGAAUUGAAAUGAACCAAUAUUUUUAUUGUGUCACAGAAAUCAAUGUGUCGGCCGUGUCGCCGGCUUGCGGAACCCCGGCCCGCGGCAGCCCGUCCGCCGGCUCGGAGUCGUCGGCCAGGACCAGCGGCAUUCGGGCCACCCCGGACCCCGGCCCCAGCACCAGCACCAGCACCAGCAUCAGCAUCAGCGCGCCGACAAGCGCUUCCGCUGGACCACCCGGACGCAGUGGGAGGGUCCUCGUGGAGGGGGUCCUGCAAUCGCAGGAAGAAAUCA